rnacentral:misc_RNA from 1 species
GGCAACAUUCUGGAGAACGCCGUCGAUUUUGCGCGCGAGCGUGUCGAGGUGAAUGCAUGGUGGAAUGCGCAGACGGUUGAGAUCGUCAUAUCCGACGACGGGCCGGGGAUUCCACCGGACAUUCUCAAGCGGAUCGGCGAACCCUACCUGACGCGGCGGCGCGCCGGUGACACGGGAGGCGAGCGAAACGGACUUGGGCUUGGCGUUUUCAUCGCCCGUACCCUGCUGGAGCGGACCGGCGCGCGGGUGUCUUUCACCAACCGGACCUUCCCCGCUCAUGGCGCGAUUGUCACAAUCGUCUGGCCACGCAGCAGCUUCGAAACCGAGGAAGUUCCAUCGGCGACGCUGUCUUAACCAAACGGCCCACGCCGUUUUGAGU